AUGGCGUUGGAGGAGCAGUUGGCGGCGCUCGCCAAGGCCAUCGCUGAUGGGCAAGCGGCCAACGAGACUCGUCUGGAUGCGAUCCAGCAAUUGCUGGAUCUCUGGCGCCCGGCGGUGCAGAAUCUCCAAGGCCAACUCGACGAGCUCCGUACCCAAGUGGGCAGGAUCGCGCUCCACCCCGCGCUCGUGGAUCGGACGCCCGCCACGGAGGAGCAACUGGGGCGUCCGGCUCCGACGCCACCGUCCGUCGUCCUGGGGCACCACGGGCCAAGUGGCCACAACGACGUCCGCGACUACAGGGGUCAGGCACACGGGGUGGUCACCACCCUGCAGCCACCCCCGACCAACGGUGCGUCGGACUCAAACCCCUUUCCUCCUCGCGUCUUCUCUGGGCUUGAUCUGGUAGAGCAGAGAAAGGAAGUGGAGCAUAGAGGGUGGGCAUCAGCAAGUCACGCCAAUUGGGCUCUCCCAAAAGUGGAUUUUCCUCCUUUUGACGGGGAUAACCCACAAUUUUGGAGGACGAGAUGUGAGAAGUAUUUUGAAGUUUAUGGGGUACAACAGGAGUUGUGGGUGCGCUUGGCAACGUUGCAUUUCACUGGAAAUGCAGCGAGAUGGCUCCAGUUGCAAGAGGCUAAGCAUGGCUCGCUGUCUUGGGAGGGUUUGUGUUCAGGGUUGUGUGAAAAAUUUGGGAGAGAGCAAUACCAAGCACACAUCCGUCAAUUUAACACGCUGCGUCAGAGAGGCACUGUUAGUGAAUAUAUGGCCCAAUUUGAGGAGCUGAUGCAUCAUAUUCUUGCACAUAAUUCGGGCUUUGAUUCUGGCUAUUUUACCACACUAUUUUUGGAGGGGCUUCGUCACGACAUUCGUGCCGGAGUCAUGCUCCACCAACCAAAAGAUCUGGAUUCCGCCUUCUCUUUGGCGUCGAUGCAGGAGGAGCUGUUGGAGGCGAUGCCCCGACGCGAGUACCGACGUCAGGAAGCACCAAACCGGCAAGGGGCACGCCCACUGCUGGCGUUGGCAGAUCCACCAGCGCGUCAAAUGCUGCAUGGGCCACCUGCGGCCGCCGAAGAUCGUCGUGCAGUGGACGCGGCGAAUGUGCAAGACCAAGAUGGCCGUGGCGACGAUCGGGUGGCCGCUCUCCGCAACUACCGACGAGCCCGUGGCCUUUGCUUCAAGUGUGGGGAACGAUGGCACUACUAG
rnacentral:rRNA from 1 species